rnacentral:rRNA from 1 species
GUGAGGAAUAUUGGACAAUGGGCGCAAGCCUGAUCCAGCCAUGCCGCGUGCAGGAAGACGCAUCUAUGGUGUGUAAACUGCUUUUGUACGGGAAGAAACACUCCCUCGUGAGGGAGCUUGACGGUACCGUAAGAAUAAGGAUCGGCUAACUCCGUGCCAGCAGCCGCGGUAAUACGGAGGAUCCAAGCGUUAUCCGGAAUCAUUGGGUUUAAAGGGUCCGUAGGCGGUUUAAUAAGUCAGUGGUGAAAGCCCAUCGCUCAACGAUGGAACGGCCAUUGAUACUGUUAGACUUGAAUUACAAGGAAGUAACUGGAAUAUGUAGUGUAGCGGUGAAAUGCUUAGAUAUUACAUGGAAUACCAAUUGCGAAGGCAGGUUACUACUUGUGGAUUGACGCUGAUGGACGAAAGCGUGGGGAGCGAACAGGAUUAGAAACCCCGGUAGUCC